GUAGAGAACACCUACAUUUGUGACUACUAUUUGUAUAUAAUCAAAUAGCACAAAUGCUGAUGGGUCUGUGAACAUGUACUUCAACAUUGCGCUUAGCUUGGCCUUGGGCGUAUUCUUUGUCUCCGCUCGUGAAAUCGAAGAGUUGUUUAGCUUGAUCGACGACGAUUAUCUACGUGAAUUAGUAAGAAAUGCCGAAUUAGAGGUCCAAAAAUUGCGUGAAAUUGAAAG